rnacentral:rRNA from 1 species
UACGUAGGGUGCAAGCGUUGUCCGGAAUUAUUGGGCGUAAAGAGCUCGUAGGCGGCUUGUCACGUCGGCUGUGAAAACCUGGGGCUCAACCCCGGGCCUGCAGCCGAUACGGGCAAGCUAGAAUUCGGUAGGGGAGACUGGAAUUCCUGGUGUAGCGGUGAAAUGCGCAGAUAUCAGGAGGAACACCGGUGGCGAAGGCGGGUCUCUGGGCCGAUAUUGACGCUGAGGAGCGAAAGCCAGGGGAGCAAACGGG